CCGAACGUCCUUGUCCUUUCAGAUGCUACGUUUACAUGUGGCCGGCUAUUUUCAUAAACGGACGGAUUUCAACCUCUCUGUUUU